UACGAGGGGGGCGAGCGUUGUUCGGAAUUAUUGGGCGUAAAGGGUGCGUAGGCGGUUUGGUAAGUCUUGUGUGAAAUCUCCAGGCUCAACUUGGAGUCUGCACGAGAAACUGCCGGGCUUGAGUGUGGGAGAGGUGAGUGGAAUUCCCGGUGUAGCGGUGAAAUGCGUAGAUAUCGGGAAGAACACCCGUGGCGAAGGCGGUUCUCUGGGACGGUACUGACGCUGGGACGCGAAAGCGUGGGGAGCGAACAGG
rnacentral:rRNA from 1 species